rnacentral:rRNA from 1 species
UACGUAGGGUGCAAGCGUUGUCCGGAAUUAUUGGGCGUAAAGAGCUCGUAGGCGGUCUGUCGCGUCGGCUGUGAAAACCCGAGGCUCAACCUCGGGCCUGCAGUCGAUACGGGCAGGCUGGAGUUCGGUAGGGGAGACUGGAAUUCCUGGUGUAGCGGUGAAAUGCGCAGAUAUCAGGAGGAACACCGGUGGCGAAGGCGGGUCUCUGGGCCGAUACUGACGCUGAGGAGCGAAAGCGUGGGGAGCGAACAGG